rnacentral:rRNA from 1 species
CGGACGGGUGAGUAACACGUGGAUAACCUACCUAUAAGACUGGGAUAACUUCGGGAAACCGGAGCUAAUACCUGAUAAUAUAUUGAACCGCAUGGUUCAAUAGUGAAAGACGGUUUUGCUGUCACUUAUAGAUGGAUCCGCGCCGCAUUAGCUAGUUGGUAAGGUAACGGCUUACCAAGGCAACGAUGCGUAGCCGACCUGAGAGGGUGAUCGGCCACACUGGAACUGAGACACGGUCCAG